AAAGUACAUCAAGAAGCUUCUAAUUGCAAUAGAAGGGUCCAGGUCAGAAUUUGCAGGUAGUUAGUCGCUUUCUCUGUAGGAAAAGACCUUAGGCUGUACAACAACUCCGCUAUUCUCCCUUUCAAGUAGGAGUUCAACGGAGCUUUAUUUAAAGAACAUUAACCACCACUUCGACUGAUGCGGACGCGGUUCUCUCGUCGUGAAAGAAGUAAUGAAAGGGAAGCCCGGGGUCAAAGCGCGUUCGUUGUUGCCUGUAUAGCUUUCUAGAGCAGAGAUCUAGCAACGCAUUCUAGGCACAGAUCAUUGGUAUUGGAUGUAUCGUUAGGUUGUGCCGAGUCAAAUCUGCUCCGUUUUUUUUCCGUUGCAGAAAAGAGAUCCCUUCCCCUCGCUUUCAAAAAUGAUGAAUAUGAAGUCCGGGAGGCUGCAGGUACUAUGGAUCCUCUGACACCCAAUCGGGUUGCCUUCCCAGGUCUCGCCGGUGUUGCCUCUAGGUCGUGAUGUGCCUUGAACGCGGUUCUCUCGUCGAGAUGAGAUCUACUCAUUGAUUUUAUAUUAGAUGAGCGGCCGUACUAUGAUUGUUCGGGAGACAUGGGCCCAUGCGCUACACACAAGAAUGAAUUGUUAAGCGGUCGGUAAACUCUUUCCUUUAUGCGGGAAACCUAUCAAAUCGAAUCACGUAUUUUUGGAUAUGUCAUUACAUCAUGUACAUGUAUUCGAUUUUCCAUUUUUUAUUAUGUUCCUGCUCGUGCCCGGAUAGAGAAUGGGCACGACUCCCCCUCUCCCCGUUCUACCGUCCAAACAGGCCGGCCGUUCUAAGUUCCGGGGUUGGGUCGGAUAGGACCAGAUCCAAUCGGAUCUGAUCGUAGCUUCGAGUUCAGGUGCCGUACUGCGGCCGGACCGGAAAGGAGGGGGACAGCGAACCUCCUGCCAAGAGGCCAAGGUUGCUUGCUAACUCUCAGCCACUUGUUAGAAGGGAUUUAGUAAAGGGAUAAUGCCGCUUUUUACUAAAAGAGUCCCGAGUUAUUUAGAGUUAGAAGCUUCACAGCUUCCUCCACUCACCUCCACGGGCGAAUAUAGUCUACUAGACUCUUUCUUGGCUAGUCUAGUAGACUAUAUUCUAGGUCAUUCGGAAGGGCUCCGUAUAGUUUUGGGGUGUAACGUUGUGGUUGUUCCCUCUCCUUUCAGUCGAGUGACUUCGUACCUAUCCUUACCGAGAAAAACGAGUUCCAGAGGCAUCUUCCAUUCAUAUCGAUUUGGGUUUGACUGCACAAUCUUGCGCUAUGGAAGGUUCUAAAAGGUUCAGGAGUGAUCUAGGAGUUGGUGGAAGCUCCAUGGAAGCACAAAGGAGUGGUGGCAUCUUAGAAGACUCUAGAGAGUCCUAGGAAGCUGCCUAGGUCAGCCAAAGGGGCUGCCAUACAAGCUACAAGAAGCUAGCAUUCUAUAGAAGGUUCUAGAAUGGCCUAGCGUGGCCUUGCCCUUGGGCAAUAUGGGCUGCCCAAUGCCCUUUUCAUGCAUUCAUCCCUAUUUCUUUCCACUAGCCAACCCCAAUAGUUAUUACAAAUUAUUAUAGACCCAAAUGAUCAGAAAAGAAAAGUAAAAUUACACCAGAAGUUCCAGCUACAUCCAAACAGCCUAAUUCAGACUCAAAUUAUAACAAUAUGAGAUAAGCCAAUUUCCAGGAUCAGCUUUCCAAAAGCCUUUCUCAUAUUUGGGAUAUGUCAAAGUUCCCAAGUGUCUUAAAAGGCUUCAGGCGGUGCUUAUACCCCAAAAACAUUGUGGAAUUAAGAUCAUAGUGCAGUGGAAAUGACAGCCCUCAGAUGUCCAAGUUCAGAGGGAGCUCAAGGUCCCAAAGCAAGGUUCAUGAGAGAGGGGCAAAAUAUAAGAGUCUAAGAAUAAGCUUAAGUGCAUAGAGAUGGAAUUAGGGAGAGGCCCUGGCAGGCUGGUGGGCAUGCCCAACAAUUGAGAAUUUUGCACACCCCUGACCAGCCUGUUAGCCAAACUUAGGAGUUAGGAUCCACUGUGGAUUAGGUUAUGGCCUGGGCAAUAAUUAGGAUACUGCCAGGCCAAGAACCUUAAUUCAAACACAUAGAAGAGAAAAGGGGUAGUGAUUCACAAUAGAAACAGAUGCGAGGAAAGAACAUACGUAACAUAUAUCAUUGAACAUGAGCAAUAGAGUAUACAAGAAAGCUGAACUACAAAGUAAAAACAUAGAGGUGAAGCAGAAAACUAAAUAAAAUACAUACAUAUUUCAAGGGAAAACAAGUAAAAUAGUUUUUUUGAAAUGCCAAUUUAUAAGCAAAGAGUUCCAAAAGAUCUCAGAAAAGCGGGGUGUUGAGAGAGUAUUGAACUCAAGGCAGUAACGUGAAUGUAAGAGUUGGAAGUAGGAAGUUCUAGGUAUUGAACUUGAAGUGUGGAUGUGAAAGAAUCAAAUUGGAAGUGUGUCAAAGGUGCAGAAGGGCUGUCCCUUUUAUAGUGUAGAGGAACAAGUAAGAAAGGCAAUGAAAUAUCAUUGAAAUAAGUCUCCCGUUGGUUAAGGGAGUCUCAUUCCAACUGGUGAAAAUUAGUUAUGGAAAGAAAUUUCUAAUUAAAACCUUUCAAAGCAGUAUAAAAGGGGUAAAACAACAGAACUUAUUUAAGGAAUGGAAUCAAUAGUACAUGAUUUGUGCCAAAUAUUGUAAGGGAAUCAAAUAAAAAACCACGAAAAUAAAAUUACAAGUUCUAUUUUAAAAAACCAAGUCAAGAAAGGUAAGGAGUUUCAAUUGAAGAAAAUAAGUGACAAAUCAUUAGCCUUGUUAAAGGGAUUUCGGAAUCAAUCAGUUUGUCAGUGAAAACCUUUUGGAAGAGGAAUUUUCUCAUAUAUAAAGCACACAACUCAAAUAAAAAGAGGCGUUAGGUUGCUAUAGAAAAAGAAUUUUGCACCGAAAGUGUCAAAGUCACAAGAAGAAGAGAUUCAAGUUCAAUUACAGACUCAUAGUGAAUCCUAGUACCAUUUGUCAAAAAAAACCCCAAAACCUAGGGUAUCUGAUAGAGUCAGACAAAGAGGUGGGAAAACAAGGUCAUUGAAAGAGGCUAAGAAGACUGUUUCAAAGACUUAUGACAGACAAGCAUACAUAAUAAAAGAACACUAAUUCAAGGUCAUGAGACCAUGUUCGAGAAAAAGUCAGAAUUAAAACAAGUUUCCGAAAAAAGAGAUGAUACGACAGUAGAGUAAAAUAUGCUUAGCAGGAACACAAACAAAGAUAAGUAAAGUGAACAAAAUCAAAGAACUCAACCGUAAACACAUUAAACAAAGAGUAAGGAAAGCAUCACAAAUUGAUAUACGAGCAUAAUGGUAAUAGAAAAGGAUAGAAGAGUCUUGCAUAAUAGAAAAGAAACAAGAGAGAAAACUCAUUCAUAAUAAGAAGCAAACAUACGAGCACAAAACACACAUAAAGAAAGAAUAUGAAGAAUCAAAAAAUAUUUGAAGAAAUCCUUUUUCAGAAACCCUAAAAUUUAAAUUGAACGACUUUAUAGAGGAAAUUUAGGGAAAACCUUUAAAAUAUAAUGUAAACCUCAGGCAUGGCACAAAUCUAAGAGAAAUAAGCAGUAGAGAACUUCAGAUGGCUUAGAGUUGUAGAGAAAACUCUAGAAUGAAAAUGGUCUUAAGGAAAGUCGGAUCCUUAGUCGAAAAGACUCAAAUUUCUUGAACUCACAGGGGUAAUGGCCGGAGAGGCCAUAGAUCUAUAUAUAUGAGAAGGAUCUAAGGAGAACCAUCAGAGUUGGGCUUCAAAUCAUCGAACAACUUAGGUCUAAUGGUGAGAGAGGCUGAGCAUAAGUCAUUCAUGGCCUGGAAAGCCAUGGAAUCCUGUGGAAUCGUGGUAGAACGAGGUGGGAGACGACUAGGGCUUCAGAGAGGCUAGAGGGAGUUUGAGAGACGAAGUGAGUUCAAAGGCGGCGUCUCUGAUAGAAUGAGUUAGGUUUGAGGGGUGUCUGAGAAUUAAAAAGGAAAUGGGGAAAAAGCCGUUGAUCGAAAUGAUCAACGGCUAGGAUCAAAGGGGAUCCAUGUGGGUUUUAAAUUGGGUCGUGAGUUGGAUUAAAAUUGGAAUUGGGCUGGUCUUGAUUUGGGGUGGAAUUGAGGUCAAACUAAGGCUAAAUUUUAAAAGAAAUAAGAAUGUAAUUGAAAUAGAAACGGGUUCUGCGUUAAAAAGUCAUUUUUCCCUUUUAUUUUUAUAACAUAGUAAUAAUGAUUUUCAAAGUGAAUUAAAAAUGCUGAUCCAACAACUAUUAUAUAAAUAUUAAUCUAAAAAAACUGAAAAUAAUUUUAUAAUUGUAAAAUGCUUUUAAUCGUAGAAUAGGCUAUAAUUGUAAUAAUAUGCAAAUUAGCUUAAAAAUACAAAAUACAUUUGUAAAAAUAUAAAUAAAUCACCUUAAAUAUAUUUUGGUGUUAAUAUGAGAAUAGAAAUAAAUUAUUUACCAAAAUAUUAAUUUUGGGAACAAUUAUUGGAUGUUGCACUCAUAAAAUAGAAAAUAAAUUAAUUGUAAAAUCUUUAAAAAUUAGGGAUAAUACAAAACUCUUGGGAAUGCUUAUAUAUGCAUGUACAUGCUAUUUUAAAAUUAGUUUGUAUAUAAAAAUACAUAGGAAAAAACUGGGUAUCAACAGCUGCCCUCUUUACCCGGGAAAGAAAAAGAGUUGUUGGGUAAAGAUAUGAUGGCCAAUUUUGAUCGAACGAAACCAUUUGAAUAAUUUUGACCGAGCUCUGUUUCCUGAGCUACAAACAUAUCCCUGGUCUUACAAUAAUCAUUCCAUAUGUAGUUCAGGGUCCAUUGGCGGACUAUGCCGAUGGAGAUUUCGAAAAACGAACAGGAUGUUCAGGUUGAGUAAGAUGGUCAGAGUCUGAUAGGUUGUGGGCACUGGAGUGGGAUCGCUCCUUCUGAGACAGUCAUUGCUCGCUGGUGUACCUGUAAACGAAUAAUACCAACAUAUAAUGUGCAGAAAUUUAAACGUGAUACAAGUUCCCAUUGGACCAUGAAUGUUGUCUUUGGAUGGUUAGGAUGACGUCCUCUGACCAUGACGUCCUGGGCAAUGAAGCGUAUAAUAUGGAUUUGCAUUCCAUGAAAUGAUGUUCUCGGGCUACUAGAAUGAUGCAUCCGAACUAUGAUGCCUUUGAAUAAUGAUAUGCAAAAUAUAAAAUGAGGUCCUCAGGCCAUGGUAUGGCAUUCUCGGGCUAUAAAAUUGGUGCCUCCGAAGAAUGACGCCUUUGGACAAUUUUGCAAUCUUUCUGCCCAUAAAAUACAGAAAAAGGCAAUCUUUCAACAAAUUCAAGACAUAAAUGAAAGGUGGUGGUAUUUCAACCAUACAAGAUAAAUAAAGUUGCGAUAUUUCAGCAAUGCAAGAUUUAAAUAAAUGUGGCGAUAUUUCAACCGAUGUGGAAUUUAAAUAAAGGUGGCGUUUAUUUCAGCCAAUGCUGAAUUUAAAUAAAGGCGAGGGUACUUCAGCCAUGCAGAUGGAGGUAGAUCUUAUCAUCGGAAGGCAGAAUGGUAGCCUUAUGCAAUGUAAAAAAUGCAGAUGGAGACAGAACUUAGUCUCGGAAGGCAAAUAGGUAGCCUUAUGUAAUGCAAAAUAAAAUGCAGAUGGAGGCCGAGCUUAACCUCAGAAGGCAGAAAGAUAGCCUUAUGCAAUGUAGAAAAAUAAAGAUGGAGGUAUAGCUUAACCUCAAAAGACAGAAAGGUAGCCUUAUGCAAUGUAGAAAAUGCAGAUGGAGGUAGAGCUUAACUUUGGAAGGCAGAAUGGUAGCCUUAUGCAAUGAAGAGAAAUGCAGAAGGAGGUAGAGCUUAACCUCGGAAGGCAUAAAGGUAGCCUUAUGCAAUGUAGAGAAAUGCAGGAUGGAUGCAGUGCUUAGUAUCGGAAAGCAGAAAGUUAGCCUAAUGCAAUGCAGAAAAAUAAAAAGCGAAUAGUAAUACAAUCUAUUAGGUGAUAACUGAUAGUUGAUAGCUGAUUACGAUAUUGAGAUUACUGAGGAUGUUGUGUGCGGAUAGCAGUUGUGAAUGAGUGAUGUUCUGAGAGUUGUAUCUCUGAGAAGUGUGAGUGUAUAAAUAUAUCUGACGAUUUUGCGACUGGUGUGCAUGCAUCCAAAGAAGAUCGUGAGUUUUGUAAAAGGGAAAGGUUAGUCCUUUUUCCCGUGGACUUUGUUCAUCCUGCUUGGCAUUGUAUAUCAUUGGGGUAGCAUCACUAAAUAAAUCAAUUUUUAUAAUAGUUAGGAAAAUGUAAUAUAAAUACAUAAUUGAAAAUAGUUUUCUUUAUGGACCGACAACUACGAAGCAGUUUAAGACAUUGCUACCUCUCCCGUUCCGGAAUUUUGAGGGUCCUCCUCAAAGUUCUACCCUAGUUUACUGGGCUGGUGCUUCUGACGACUGCAUGCGACAAAUGGCUGAAAUCAACUUUGGAAUUUUGAGGGUCCUAUUCAAAAUUCUUCCCCAAUUUCAAUUGACGGGGAAAAUGGAAAUUUUAUUGCCUUGUGACCGAACCCAUAGGGCUGCCUACGUAUCCCCUCUGAAUUGAUCGGCUUUGGCCAAAUUUCUCCGUCCAUUUCUGCAAGUAUGAGAGCUCCUCCGGUUAGAACCCGCUAAACCAUGUACGGACCUUGCCAGUUGAGAGAGAAUUUCCCUUUGGCUUUAUCUUGAUGCGAAAAAAUCUUCUUCAACACUAGUUGUCGCGGUGUAAAGUGACUCAGCUUUACUCUUUUGUUGAAGGCUCUGUCCAUUCUAUUCUGAUACAACUGAACAAGGUAAAAUACAUUCAUUCUCUUCCCAUCUAUAAGAGCUGUCUGCUCGUAGCAACUUUUAACCCAUUCUGCACAUUCAAGUUCCAUUUCUUGUAUAAUCCUCAAUGAGACAAUUUCCACCUCGGCGGGAAUGACUGCCUCUAUACCAUAAACAAACAUAUAGGGAGUUGUGUAGGUUAAUGUGUGAACUUUGGUACGGUAUCCUAAUAAAGCAAAUGAUAACUUCUCAUGCCAUUGCUUUUGCUUUUCAAUCAUUUUCCUUUGUUUCUUCUUAUGUUCUUAUUGGCUGCUUCUACAGCUCCAUUCAUCUUAGGUCUAUAUGCUGUGGAAUUCUUGUGUUCUAUCUUGGAUGUUUCACACUUUACUUUCAUCAGGUCACUGUUGAGAUUGGAACCAUUAUCAGUAGUUAUUGACUCUAGGAUGCCGAACCAGCAAACAAUACGGUACGGACAAAGUCUGCCCCGACUUUCUUAGUUACUACCUUGUAUAAUGCUGCUUCAACCCAUUUGGUGAGAUAAUAAAUUUCCACUAAAAUGAACCAGUGCCCAUUUGAUGCGGAAGGCUCGAUGGGUUCGAUAGCAUCCAUUCCCCAAGCGGCGAACGACCAUGGCGAGCUUGUUGUAGUAAGAUCGAUUGGAGGCACCUUAAUUGUAAUGACCCGACACGUUCUCUCAGGUAUCUCCGCCCUAGUUUCCCGUUUUAUGUUUCUAUAUGUUCCAUUAUAUGUGUUUGGGGAGUUUGAAGUAAUUCGGAUUUAAUUUGCUACGAAAUGAGACAAUUAGUCCUUUUAUGAGAAGGUUAGUUUCGAAAAGUCAACCGAAUGUUGACUUAUGAGUUUGAGGACUCAGAAUGGAUUUUCGACGAUUCGAAUUUGGAGGUUUGAUGUAAAUUUAGGCUUAAAUUGGCUAAGUUAGAAUUUUGGCGAAGUCAAGUUGAUAAGUGAAAUUUUGAUCCUGGGGUCAGAAUGGAAUUCCAAUGGUUGCAGUAGCUCCGUUAAGUGAUUUUGGAUAUGCGUGCAAAUUUUCAGAUUAUUCAGAGGUGUUUAGGUCAAUUUUUGGAUCAAAUGCGUGAUUCGGAAGUUUUAGAAGAACUUAGGCUUGAAUCCGAUGUAAAUCUGCUUUUUGAUGUUAGUUUUUGUGUUAUGAGAGUGAAACUAAGUUUGAAUGAUCAUAUGUGAUGUUUAUUAUGUUUGUAUGCGGUCCCGAGGAGUUCGGUUGAGUUUCGGAUAGGUUUGGGCUGCGUUGUGCUCAUUUUUCUUAUGCUUCGACGUCGUUUCUUCAAGCAUAAAUGGUAUCAUAUUGAACAAAUAAGAUCCGAUUACUGUUUUGAAUCAAGAACUAGAUUCGUAUCGUAAUUACGGACCCGUAGCAAAAAGAAUCAUCGAAUUUGGACAUCGUAUGAGGAUUUUAUGGCCACAGUGUAUUCAUGUGCAUUACAUUGUAUCUUUAUCUGAUACUUGACUGUUAUAUAUGUUAUUGCUUUGUUGUUAGCUACAAAUAAGCUUUGAUUACUGUUUUGAAUGAAGCACUAGAUCCCUAUCGUAAUUAUGGACCCGUAGCAAAAAGAAUCGUCGAAUUUGGACAUCGUAUCAGGAUUUUAUGGUUGUUUACCAAGAUUGCCUAGAUUUUCAAGUUAAUAACGAAAUUGCCCCUGACUGCGUAUUAAAACCUGCACUAUUUGCAAAUAUUAAAACCUACAUAUCUCCUUCAUUAUAAGCUAAUAUUGAGUGAUUCAAAAGCGUAAAUUCAUUAGAAUCUCACAAGGAAUCUAUUGGGAGCAGUAAAACGCGUAAACAGUAUACCUAUAAUGAGAAGAUAGAGUUUACUUCCAAUUUUUGAACGGGACGAAGCUUUCGAGGCGAUUGUUAAGAGAGAAAAUCAGUGGGUAUCUCAGAGGUAAGUUAUUUGAUUAUAAAAACUCGUUUAUAGGUAAUUAUAAACCAUAAUCCCAACCUUUAAUUUAUGAAAAAAAGUAUUAAAAAAAAGGAUUUUGGCGCUUGAGAUUAUGAGACCUUUAGGGGUCGAUUUGAGGGGUCAAACAGAAUCCAAAUUUGGUGUUCUUUAUAUGUACAGAAUCGGGAGAAUAUGAAGAAAACGUUUCUGUAAAAAUUUGUGAGUUUCGAGAAUUGGGUUCGGGGCUCGGGUUUUGUCAAUUAAGGGAUUAUUGAUGCUUUUUGAUUAUUUUCGAUUGGGUAUUGAUCCUAUAGGCUAAUAUGAUGUAUUCUUUGUGGUUUUGGCUAGAUUCGACGCGUGAGGAGGUCGAUUCAAGAGAAAAGGGCAUCGCGCGCUAGUUUAGGGCCGGUUAGAGGUGAGUAGUUUGUAUAGAUGAUAACCUGAGGGUUUGAAACCCCGAUUUAUCACAUCAUGAUGCUAUUAGAGGGCGUGACUCACACCCCAUGGCAGGUGUGAGAUGAUAUAUAAUUGGGUAUUGUGACUUGGUCCAUCCCGAGAGCGUAAUAUAAAUAAUUGGCGGCUAAUACGCAUAUUGUGUAGUCGAUAAUUGGGAUUAAUGCCAUGUUUGGGUCUUGUGCUGAUCUGUAGUACCUUCUAGGGUGAAUAUCUGUGUGAUAACAUGAUCUGCAUAAUCAUUGAUCUCAGUCAUGUGUAUAAUCACUGUAAUGAAAUGCUAAGUCAUUUUUCUGAAAUUAAAUAAUUAAAUUAUAUUCUUCUUAAGAAAUGGAAACUAUAAAAUAAGUUGAAUCUGUUAUGUGACUCAUAUGCAUACUAUGGACUGAGCAUGGAUCGGGAUACACGCUGUAGAAACUAUAUUCAUUGAUAUUGAGGCCAAGAGCUUGUUCUACGUCGAUACCUGGCUGAUAUUGUCCUUGGGCUGAAGGAGCCCCUCCGGAGUCUAUACACACCCCUAGUGAGCGCCUUCGACGUUAAAUGAACGGGCUGCACACCGCAGCGUAUUCAUGUUCAUUGCAUUGCAUAUUUAAAUGAUAAUUGACUGUUAUGUUUUUUAUUGCUUAAUGUUAGUUCCUAGUUAAGGUAUAGGACGGUUAGUUUUAGCUUUGCUUUGUGGCAUUUCGUGGAUUUCUUACUUUCAAACAUUAUAUAUGCUUAUUACUCACUGAGUUGGUAGUACUCACCCCUACUCCCUGCACCCUGUGUGCAGAUUCAGGUACAUCAGAGGCUUAGGUGACACUCGUAGUCUCCAGAUAUUUUUAGAGUCAUUGAGGUAGCUGCUUGAUGUUCACAGGACCUGGCUGCCCUUCAUAUUCCAGUUAAUUAUUAUUAUAUAUAUUUCCAGAUUUUUAUAUUUUCAUUCAGAUAUUAUUAUCCCGUUUUGUUUAGAGGCUCUAGACUCGUGACCCUAGAUCCUUUAGUUGUGUUUGUCGGUUGUUCGUAUUUAUCCAUAUUACUCUGUUAAUAUUUUUGGAUUAUUAUUCUAAAAUUACUACAAUCUUCUUAAAAUGUCAGUUUUUGAGACUUAGCAUUAAAUGGAAAGCAAUUGUUGGUCAGGCUUUCAUAGCUUUAGCAUUGGGCGCCAUCACGAUCAGGUUGGGUCGUGACAAGUUGGUAUUAGAGCCUAGGUUACUAGGCAUCGUGUGUCAUUAUCCAGUUUAGUAGAGUCUCGCGGAUCAGUAUGUAGAGUCCAUAUCUAUCCUCGGGACGCUACAACACCUUUACGAAACAUUCCACUUUCUUGAAAUCUUAUCGUGUGUCUUUGAUUUAGCUUGAAAGAGUAACUAUUAAAAUUCCUUCCUCACGCUUGUGUGCAUGUACGAGCACUUUGUAUUAUAUGUGCUUCGAUGGCUUGCGAUUUCCCGAUCGAGGGGCGAGAUGUAAUCUUCGUGAGAAUGAUGUUGGGCCAGUCAGGAGGACUUGAGGCCGGGCCUUACCUAGGGCCGAGCACUGAGGUGCUGAUCGUAUGAGCAAGUGUUUUGGACGUAUAUGUACGGUAUUGUCGCUAUUAGCCAGAAUGGAAGUUGGGUAUCCAUGUGAUGAGCAUGUUAGUACUCCGAGGUGCGAUUAUAUGACUUGGUAGCGACGAAGAAGUCUGCUAGAUAAUUGACGAACUGUUAAGUGAUUCGUUUCCUAUUGUGGUUCGAUGUGUAGCCUGAAUAUAGGCUCAUGAAGAAUCUUUCUGAGUCUCCUAGUGGGAGUAAAGUAAAUUGCACGAUACGAUAUGUAUUUAAACUCAGGAAGACUAAGUAGCUAUGUAAUAUGUGUGACGGUGGAAGGUAUACAUAAAUGUUAUAUUGAGGCGAAGCAGGUGGGUUAUAUCCUGCGGAGUGAUCUGAAGUGAUGCGAUUCUUAUAUGUGUAUAUUAGAAGAUCUCAUGUGUAAUUGAAAGGUAUUUUCUAUGUGUUAUGAUUUGAAUAGGUGCAACGCAUGUCCAUGUAUUAAUUUUGAUAAUAGAAUACAUAUAGUAUUGAGAUUAAUGUUGUUGAUAUACAUUUGUGAAGCUUUGUCAAGUUGUGGACAUGUUGUUAGGAUGUUUUUGGUGAUUCUUUGGCAGGUGGAUAGGCCUAAUUAAAAAGGAAACUCUGCCAAAAUUUUUGAAAAAUUUGGGACUUAGUAAAAAUUUUGUCGCUAAAAGAGUGGGUUUAACUCUCGUGUGAAUGAAUGCAAGAAUUGCAGAAGAGUAAAAUAUUUCGGAUGAUUCGUGUUUCCACAAGCUUAUGAAAUAGUGACUUUAAUCUCACCAUGUUAUUACAAUAGUAAAAGAGUAUAUAUGUUGUGAUAUGUAUGGUUUCGAGCUAAGUUGGGGAGGUUGCUGUCAAUUAGCUGAUUGUACGAUUAUGUAAUAUGUUAGUUCUGAUUUGAUGCAUGCGGGUGAAUCAGUUCUGGUUGCAGAAAUUGAGCCGAGGGUGGCACGUCUGAAGAAAUAUUUUAACAAAGGUUAUAUGAUGCUUCGUAGAGGUGAGGAAAUAAUAGGAUGUCUUUAGUUGUGGGUAAGGAAUGUUUAGUGUAAAGGGAAGGAAUUUGUUUGGUUGUAUCAGAAUGAGAUCAUGUCCUACGGUGUCAGAGUGCUGAUAAGGCACGAGUGGUUUGAUUCGUUAAGUUAAGUAAUUUUCAUUGGGCAUGAGAGUGGAUGACUCUUGAGAAUGGUUUGAUGUAUGCAAGAUUCUAUAAGUAACACUCAGGCAUUUUAAGGUUGAGUACGUAACCAAGUCAUUUUUUCCGCUAGAACAAGUCGAGACUGGUGGUGUUUGUACGUUAAUUAUGAGAUUCUAUGUAUCAGUAUCAGGGAAGGAAAAGGUAGCAGACUUAAACUCACAUGAAGCGCUUAAAAGUAGGGCAUUUUAGAAGGUGGUAUUUUUUGGAAUGUUUGAGAAAGUAUAUAGUGGCCUAUUGGUCUGAGAUAGUGUGGUCUUACGUUCGGGUCUCGGGUGCUAAGCCUGGUUUGAGGCAUUGUGGUGCGACAGCAAGAGAGUAUAUCAAGUUGAAAAUGAACUAGAAGGAAUCCAGACAAAUGAAGUAGCUUGUUAGUGGAGAUUGGUAUGGUAAAGAUAUGAUCAAUUACUUGUUUAUGUUCGAGGUAAUGAGCACUUACGGGAAUUGGGUGGUAGAGCUUUUGAGUUCCGAAAGCUUGCUUAGACUAGUGUGGAUAGAAGGAUUUAGUCCUGACAGUUUAGUUGUGGUUAGGAAAAAGGAGAUGGAGUUCUCAGAUUAUCCUAGUAUGGUAUGGUAUGCGCGGUCUGUUGUGGAGGAUUGGGAUUUGUGUGUGUAAGGUACGGUUUAGUUCCGAAUGGAAUGUCAUUAAAUUCGUAAGCAACUCGGGCAGCUGCAUGUGAUUUAAGAAGCGACCCUCAGAUUAUUAAGGAAAAUGGUAUUACUAUUCUAGUAAUUUGAUGGGAGUAUACGUUCAUUAAGAGGAGAAAGUGAUGUAAGCUGAUAACAACUCGGUGGGAUUGCGACAAUUUCCUAUUGGACCGACUAUUGGCCCCUGAGUCUGUUGAUGUCACAGGGAAAUUAUAGAAUAUCGUUCAUGGAAUGAAUGGGUACUUGAUGUGUAAUAUGUAUUCCUACGGCGGAAUGUGGGACCAGGUAUAGUGAUCUGUGUGUUAAUAUGGAGGGGGGACUCGGAGUUCUCCGACACCAUCUAUGUUGUGGUUCUGGAUCUUUAUCUGUUGAUACGAUAGAUUUUUGAUGUGAGAUUGGGUGUAAACUGGUUGCCUCAGUGUUGGGUUAAUCUAGACUAUUGUGUUAUGGCUAUGCCAAAAAAUGCCAUAAAUUGUGUGGCGAGGUGUAUCAGAUUAUGCUAUAGCAAAAGUUGUUUGUACUCCAAAGAUCAGUGGACGGCUGGGAAGAAUUGCUCUACUUAAUUCGGCCUUUGUGAUGGAUGUCAGUGUAGAGGGUUCUACCAUUGAUUCGGUUCCGAUAUUGAAGCACUUUUCGAACGCGAUCCUUGUGGUCGGGCAUAUCGCCGGGCGAGAUUGUGAAUUUCAGUAUUUAUUUAAUGUCGAGCACUAAAUCGUACGGCGAUGGCAAGAGUAAUAGUAGUGGAAGCCGCAGCUUCAGGCUUCUUGGUAAUGAGUUUGUUGGUAAGCUGAUUGAAUAUGUGCUUAGCUUGAGUUGGCUUGGUUAGUCCCAAAUUGUAUUGAUGAAGGUUAGGUUGGUUCGAUUGUUAUUGAACCUGCUAGUGAUCUGGGGGGAUCUAUGAGUUGCUUUUCUGCGCUGAGAGGCGUUAUGAUUUUUGGACGAUGGCACAUAUAUUGUGGUGCUAUUGAGAUUCAUAGUGGAAGCCGAGUUCUAUAGCUUACAACGCUAUAAGUAGAGAAUUGUAUUGAUGAAGGUUUGGUUGAUUCGAUCAUUAUUGAACCUGCUAGUGAUCUGGGGGGAUCUGUGAGUUGCUUUUCUGCGCUGAAAGGCGUUUUGAUUUUCGAAUGGUGCCACAUAUAUUGCGGUGCUAUCAGGAUUCAUAGUGGAAGUCGAGUUCUGUAGCUUACAAAGCUAUAAGUAGAUAUCAUUAUGCACACAGUGUGCUUACGACCGAUACUCGGUAUUUGGUUAUAAUAAGAAAAUUUAGCUCAAUGUGCAUCUCCUUAUGUGAGAUAGUUGCGUGUAUCAGGUGGCAAGUUGCCACGGGGAUCUUAUCUGGAUCGGGUUGCGCGCCGCAAUAGUGUGAUGUUGAGAAUAGUUUUCCAUAUGUUUGUUCAUAUGCAUUAUUUCCUGGUUUUUUAGGAAAGUCUGUAUUGGGCGUUUCUCGGCGAAUAAGGCAUCGAUUGGGUUCUUUCAUGAUUGAAUGGUGUAUAUAACAUGCUUCACCGUGGCUGUGAUGGAUUGCUUGGGUUCAGACAUCAAUAUGUGCGUGUUUGUCAAGUUCGAGUAUAGCGACUCGAGGUGUUUCAUCUGAAAUGGUGUUUGAUGAGAUCACGCAUUAUACCGAGGCUACGUGGAGUUAUGACCUUCGAUGCAGAUUCAGGUACUCUAUUUCUAUGAGGUGAGAUGGGGUAUCAACUUCGUGUUGUAAUGGUAUUGAGGAGCUUAGGGUACAACUAUUUCAUUUGAAUCAAUUGCCAUGAUGCGAGUAUGUUAGGGUCGUCUCUUAUUGGUGCGUAUACAAUGCAAGUUGUGGAUUAGGCAUGUGUUGAGAUGUAUUAUCACCAGAUUGGUAUGUUGGAUUCGAGGGGAUUGUUGGAGUCAUAAAUGGAUACGAACGGAUUUGGUUUCAGCUUGUCGGAUGGUUAAUAUCGAGUUUCAGCUUGGAGAUUUGUUAUGGUAUUAGUCAAAAGGGAAAAAAUGUCUUGGUGAAUGGUUGAUCUGAGAAAUGGUUACGGACUACUAUGUGUCCAUUAUCAUUGAUAGAGUAUAGCAGUGUUGGAAUAAGACUCCAGCUAACAAGAGAUUCCUAUUGAUAAUUGAGUAUUUUGGGUAACUGUUGUGAGUAGGGACCAUCGUUUCGAGUGUUGGAUUGCAUGGUUUGUUGCAUGGGUUCACCUGAGGUUGAAGAUAUGGGUUAUUACAGCUGGUUCAGGCUUAUUCUGAGUAUAAAUGUAAGGUUCUGAUCAUGUGCAUGGUUUCAGAAGUGCAAUGUGGUCCUACGGUUAUGGUCUGGAUAGACUGUGAAAUUUAAGCUAUGUUGUAUUAUCGGGCCUAUGUGAGUUAGGGCGACAUCACUCCGAGUAUAUGGUUGGUAUGGUCAUUCAGGUAUUGGUUGGCCCCUAGUACAACUCUGAGCACGCUCAAGGACAAGCGUUUGUUUAAGUUGGGGAGGAUUUAACGACCCAACCCGUCGUCUCAGGUAUCUCCGCCCCGUUCUUCCCGUUUUAUGUUUUUAUAUGUUCCAUUAUAUGAGUUUGGGGAGUUUGAAGUAAUUUGGAUAGAGUUUGGUCAGAAAUGAGAAAAUUAGUCCCUUUAUGAGAAGGUUGGUUUAGAAAAGUCAACCGAAUGUUGACUUACGAGUUAGAGGACUUGAAAUGGAUUUCAAAAAAUUCGACUAGUUCCGGGUGGUGAUUUAUGACUUAGGAGCGCAAUCGGAACUGAAUUUGGAGGUUUGAUGUAUAUUUAGGCUUGAAUUGGCUAAGUUAGAAUAUUGGCGAAGUCAGGUUGAUAGGUGAAAUUUUGAUCCGAGGUUCGGAAUGGAAUUAUGACUGUUGCGGUAGCUCCUCUCGGUGAUUUUGUAUAUGCCUACCAAUUUUCAGAUCAUUCGGAGGUGUUUAGGUCGGGUUUUGGAUCAAAUGUGUGUUCGAAAGUUUUAGAAGAACUUAGGCUUGAAUCCGAUGUAAAUUUGGUGUUUGCUGUUAGUUUUGGUCUUCUGAGAGUGCAACUAAGUUUGAAUGAUCAUAUGUGAUGUAUUAGUAUGUUCUUAUGCGGUCCCGAGGAGUUCGAGUGAGUUUCGGAUAGGUUUGGGCUGCGUUGUGCUCGUUUUUCUUAUGCUUCGACGUCUUUUCUUCAAGCAUAAAUGAUAUCAUAUUGAACAAAUAAUCUCCGAUUACUGUUUUGGAUGAAGCACUAUAUCCGUAUCGUAAUUAUUAACCCGUAGCAAAAAGAAUCGUCGAAUUUGGACGUCGUAUGAGGAUUUUAUAGCCGUUUUACCAAGGUUGCCCAGAUUUUCAAGCUAAUGACCAAAUUACCCCUGACGGCGUAUUAAAAACCUGCACUAUUUGCAAAUUUUAAAACUUACAUAUCUCCUUUAUUAUAAGGUCAAAUUGAGUUAUUCAAAAGCCUAAAUUCAUUAGAAUUUCAUGGGGAAUCUAUUGGGAGCAGCAAAACACGUGAACAGUAUACCUAUAAUGAUCAGGUCGAGUUUUCUUCCAUUUUUGAACGGGAAGAAGCUUCCGAGAUGAUUUUUAAGAGAAAAAAUCAGUGGGUAUCGCAGAGGUAAGUUAUUUGAUUAUUAAAACUCAUUUAUAGGUGAUUAUAAACCAUAAUUCCAGCCUUUAACUUAUGAAAAAUAGUAGAAAAAUAGGAUAUUUGGGCCUAAGAUUAUGAGACUUUUAGGGGUCGAUUUGAGGGGUCAAAUGGACUCCUAUUUUGGUGUUUUCUAUAUGUACGAAAUUGAGAGAAGAUGAAGGACACUUUUCCACAAAAAAAAUUGAGUUUCGAUAAUUGGGCUCGGAGCUCGAGUUUUGUCAAUUUCGGGAUUAUUGAUGUUUUUCGAUUAUUUUCGAUUAGGUAUUGAUCCUAUAGCGUAAUGUGAUGUAUUUAUUGUGUUUUUGCCUAGAUUCGAUGGGCGAGGAGGUCUACUCAUGAGGAAAGGGCAUCUCGGGCUAGUCUACGGCUUGUUAGAGGUGAGUAGUUUGUAUAGAAAUAGGCAUGAGGGUUUGAAAGCCCGGUUUAUCACAUCGUGACGCUAAGAGAGGGCGUGACUCGCACCCCAUGGCAUGUGCUGGAUGGUAUAUGAUUGAUGAUUGUGACUUGGUCCAUCCCAAGAGUGGAAUAAAAAUUAUUGACAAUUGAUACGCAUAUUGUGUUGUUGAUAAAUGGGCUUAAUGCCAUGUUUGGGGCCUUGUGCCUAUCUGUGUACCCGUCUAGGGUGAAUAUCUGUAUGAUAACAUAAUUUGCAUAAUCAUUGAUCUCAGUCCUGUGUUUAAUUGUUGUAAUGAAAUUCUAAGUCACUUUUCCCGAAAUUAAAUAAUUAAAUUAUAUUCUUCCUAAGAAUUUGAAAUUGGAAAAUAAGUUGAAUAUAUUGUGUUACUCCUAUGCAUACUGUGGAUUGAGCAUGGAUCGGGCUACACGUUGUAGCGAUUAUAUACAUUGAUAUUGAGGCAGAGAGCCUGUUCUACACCAAUAUCUGGCCGAAAUUGCACUUGGGGUGAAGGAGCCCCUCUGGAAUCUGUACACACCCCCAGUGAGCGCCGAUGACGUUAAAUGGAUCGGGCUGCACGCCGCAGCGUAUUCAUGUGCAUUGCGUUGCAUCUUUAUCUAAUACUUGACUGUUAUGUUUGUUGUUGUUUGCUGGUAGUUCAUAGUUAAAGUGUAGGACGGUUAGUUUUAACUUUACUUUGUGGCAUUUCUUGGAUUUCUUACUUUCAGACAUUAUAUACGCUUAUUACUCACUGAGUCGGUAGUACUCACCCCUACUCCCCGCACCUUGUGUGCAGAUUCAGGUACACCGGAGGCUUAGCUGAUUCUCGUAGUCCCCAGAGAUAUUUCCAGAGUCGUUGAGGUAGCUGCAUGACGUUCGCAGGACCUGGCUACUCUUCAUUAUUUUCUCAGUUUAUUAUUAUUAUAAUUAGCUAACACUCGUAGUCUCUAGAUAUUUUUAGAGUAGUUGAGGUAGCUGCUUGACGUUCGCAGGGCCUGGCUUCUCUUCAUAUUCCAGUUCAUUAUUAUUAUUAUAUACAUUUCAAGAUUUAUAUUUUUUUAUUCAGAUAUUAUUAUCCAGUUUUGUUUAGAGGCUCUAGACUCGUGAUCCCAGAUCCCCUGGUUGUGUUUGUCGGUUGUUCGUAUUUAUCCAUAUUACUCUGUUAAUAUUUUUUGGAUUAUUAUUCUAAAAUUACUACAAUAUUCUUAUGUUGUCGGUUUUUGAAACUUAGUGUUAAAUGGAAAGCAAUUGUUGGUCAGGCUUGCCUAGCUUUAGUGUUGGGCGCCAUCACGACCGGGUUGGGUCGUAACAUUAAGCAUGUCUGCAUGUAUCUAAUAGCGAUGGACUUUAAUAUAUACUGGAUACAAUCCUUUUCCAUUGUCAUACAAAAAUAACCAGCUUGAAGUAUUUUCUUGGCUAAGACAAAGUCGUUCAUAUGUGGACUGCAGGUCCCAGCGUGGAUUCCUUAUAGCAACCUAGAUGCUUCCUUUACCUCGACACACCUUAGUAAUCCCAAUUCUGGAGUCCUCCUAUAUAAGAUUCCACCACUGUGAAAGAAGUGAUUGGAUAACCUUUGAAGUGUGUGCUUCUAAGUAGCGUUUGAAAGUUCUGGAUAUUCUCCGGUUGUCAAAUAUUCCUUGAUGUCAUGGAACCAUGGUUUUUCGUCUACUUCUUCUUCGACAUGGGAACAAUUUGGCUGGUUGGUCAUGAAUGUUUAAUCGGAAUAGGAUCUAUGAAGUUCUUAUCUGGAUGUUGGACAAUAGAUGAAUAGGGUUGCUUAUCGGGCGGAUUGGGCGGCAUUUUAAUCUUAAUGGUUUGCCUUAACGGUUAUCAGAUUUUAAAUGUAUUAAUCUAUUAGCCACCUGAUAAGAUAUCGAGCGUAUUGGUAUCAGUUUAGCUCUAAUCGGGCUGUUAUCUGGCGGUUUAACGGCACAACAUACAUAUUCACUAUCUACCAUUCUCCUCGUCUUAGAAAUAAUAAAUUCCCAUAUAAAUAUAACAUUUCAGAGGCAAUAUUAUGCAUUCAAUUUGCUUUGCCAGAGUCACUUAAGUUCGGCUUAGCCAAAUUUUGCUAUAAGCCCCACUACUUACUGCAAUAUCAAACUUCAGUUAUGUUCACUGCUCAGUGAUUGGUGAACGACUUAAGCCGGGAAAUAGUUCAUCCUGUUAAAUAACUGCAUGAAUGAAUAAACAAGUCCACAAUAUAAAGUAUUAAUAGUAAACAGUGUUGGAUAAAACUGAGAAAACACAAUAGACACAGCCUUUUGUUUUUGUUAAUCAUUUUCAAAGGUUUUAGUUUAAUUAUAUUUAAAAGAUAUAAAUAAAAAUAAAAAUAAUAUAUAUNNNNNNNNNNNNNNNNNNNNNNNNNNNNNNNNNNNNNNNNNNNNNNNNNNNNNNNNNNNNNNNNNNNNNNNNNNNNNNNNNNNNNNNNNNNNNNNNNNNNNNNNNNNNNNNNNNNNNNNNNNNNNNNNNNNNNNNNNNNNNNNNNNNNNNNNNNNNNNNNNNNNNNNNNNNNNNNNNNNNNNNNNNNNNNNNNNNNNNNNNNNNNNNNNNNNNNNNNNNNNNNNNNNNNNNNNNNNNNNNNNNNNNNNNNNNNNNNNNNNNNNNNNNNNNNNNNNNNNNNNNNNNNNNNNNNNNNNNNNNNNNNNNNNNNNNNNNNNNNNNNNNNNNNUAUAUAUAUAUAUAUAUAGUUCUACUAUUAACGGGUUAACAGAUUAUCCGUUAAGAAAAUUGAAUAAUCAACCACCAAACUAAUAAGUUGUUAAUAAAAACAUUCAAUCAGUUCCCCGUCUGUUAAGCCAUUAAAGCAUUACCAUUAAGCCAUUAAGCUUCAGUUUGGAUCGGAUUUUGUUUUCGGAUCGAUUUUCAACACUCCUAUAGAUGAUAGGGUAGAUAAUGCAUCGGCAAACUCAUUCUGGACUCUGGGACGUGCUGAAACUCUGUCUUUGUGAGUCUCUUCCUCAACUCCUGUACAUGAUGCCGAUAAGGGAGUAUCUUGGAAUUCUUGAUUGCCCAUUCUUCUCGGACCUGAUGUAUAAGCAGGUCUGAAUCUCCGAUCACUAGCAAUUCCCGAAUGUUCAUGUCAAUGGCCAGCUUGAUCCCUAAGAUGCAGGCUUCGUAUUCGGCCUUGUUGUUGGUGUAUGGGAAUCUGAGCUUCACAGACACUGGAUAAUGCUGGUCAGUUUCUGAUACCAGGACUGCUCAUAUGCCAACUCCUUUGAAAUUUGUUGCUCCAUCGAAAAAAAUUCUCCAACCAUCAUAUGAUUCUGCAAUAUUUUCUGCUGUGAAGGAUACCUCCUCAAAAUAAGUCUUUAGAGGCUUGUAUUCUCCAUCCAUGGGAUUUUCAGAAAGAUGAUCUGCCAGUGCUUGUCCUUUGAUUGCCUUCUAUGUCAUGUAAACAAUGUCGAAUUCACUCGGGAGGAUUUCCCACUUGGCUAGGUUGCCAGUGGGCAUGCGAUUUUGAAAGAUUUACUUAAACGGAUCCAUUCUCGAUACGAGAUAAGUAGUAUAGGCGCAGAAAUAAUGCCUCAACUUCUGCGCUAUCCAAGUCAAAACACAAUAGGUGUGGUCCACAAGGGAACACCGGGACUCGUAUAGGGUGAACUUCUAGCUGAGAUAGGAGAUGGCCCGCUCUUUUCUCCAUGUUUCAUCAUGUUGUCCCAGAACACAACCAAAUGCUCCAUCCAAUACUACAAAGUAGAGUAGUAGACGUCUACCUGGUCCGGGCGGAACCAAAAUUGGCGGCGUUGACAAGUAUCCCUGGAUUCUGUCGAAGGAUUUCUGAAAAUAAUCAGUCCAUUAGGUAGUGGUGUCCUUUUUAACAUCUUAAAGAUCGGCUCACAAAUGACAAUGGAUUGAGCUAUGAACCGGCUGAUGUAGUUAAGUCUCCCCAAGAAACCCAUAACCUCCUUCUUGUUUUCUGGCGGUGGCAAUUCUUGAAUGGACUUAAUCUUUUACGGAUCCAGUUCUAUUCCUCGGUGACUUAUGAUGAAUCCAAGUAGAUUUCUAGCAGGAACCCUAAAUGACACUUGGCGGGAUUAGGCUUCAGAUGGUACCUUCUCAGUCUGUUGAAGAACUUUCUCAAAUAUUUCAUGUGGUCAGUGGCUCUCUUGGAUUUAAUGAUGACUUUGUCCACAUACACAUUGAUCUCUUUGUGUAUCAUGUCAUGAAAAAUAGUAGUCAUGGCUCUCAUGUAGGUGGCCCCAGCAUUCUUUAACUCAAACGACAUCAUCUUGUAAUAAUACAUCCUCCACGGUGUGAUGAAAGCCAUUUUCUCCGCGUCUUCCUCAUUCAUCCAUAUCUGAUGAUGCCUGGCAAAACAAUCAAUGAACGACUGUAGUUCAUGUUUGUGCAGUUUUCAAUUAGAAUGUGUAUGUUUGGCAAGGGGAAGUCGUCUUUCAGACUGGUCAAAUUGGGAUCCUGAUUGUCAACACAGACUAUAAACUUCCCGUCCUUCUUCCAUACUAGCACAAUAUUGGCUAACCAUGUUAGAUACUCUACUACUCUCAGAACCUUGCCUUUGACUUGCUUAGUGAAUUCUUGUUUGAUUUUCAAACUCAUGUCUGGUUUGAACUUCCUGAGCUUUUGCUUUAUUGGGGGACAUGUCGGAUUGAUGGGAAGUUAAUGAGCUACAAUAGAUGUACUAAGGCCAGUCAUGUCAUCAUACGACCAGGUGAAUAUGUCCUCAUUGUCACACCUCCUUUUUGACACACCUACCCAGAAGGAAAAUGUAUAUAGGAGUUUUUCCAUUUUAAGUGAUAUUAUUCUAAAUGAGAUUAUUUAUUUAUGCAGAGUCGUCACUUGGGAUAUGUUUUGGUUUUUGGUAUCCCAAGCAACAUGUUUAUCUUGAAUCCUAAUUCAAGGAAAAUAUUCGACUUUCCAAGUGAAGUCUGCAAACCAGAAAUUCAGACUAAGGAAUUUUGUUGACCUGAGGUAAGGUGUUAGGAACCACCGGAUCCCAUGGUUCUAGCAGGGUCGCUUAAACUAUUACAAAUAGCUAAAUAUCUGAUUUUAAAACAUGUUUCAAUUUAUAAUGCAAUUUUAAAUUACUUACCGCUUUAAAUUAUUUUUUAAGGAAUUUGCAACAUUAUUAAAAUAUGUCUUGAACCGCGUCACAUAAAUGCACCCGUGGCUUUUGACAUAUUUUAACGUCGUUGAGAUUUGGAUUUGGGUCAGAUAAAUGUGCACUUGAGCUUAAGGAGGUAAUAUUAAUGACGAGCCUAAAGCAACUAGCUUGUUGAUAUCAUCGCGGGAAGCCAUUGAAAUUUGUUAAAUGGCAUACCCAAUUUCUAAAUAUUUUUAUAGAAUUAACUAAAGAGGGCCAAACAAUUUCAAAUUUUAUUUGACGCGGUGCACCUUAUUAUUUUAGAGGCCAUCCUAAAAGGAUCUAUUAUUCUCUAUUAAAGAUUGUCUCUAAAGGUCUAAUUAGUUAACAUUAUUAGUAAGCUACUAUUAAAAGCAUUUAUGAAAUUUGGGCCUCAAGGUCAAGUCCAAAUUUAAACAAGAGGGAAACCUCCUAAAUCAAACUUGCUACAUAAACUGGGAGGCCCAAAAUUACGUUGCAAGAUUAAACUGAUGAUUUCAAAUAGAAAUUAAGGCUUCUAGAAUUUUGGGCUUUAAAACUAGUCCAUGAGUGAGCGAAAAUGCCUUCAGCUUUAUAAAAGUUGUCCAAAUGGCUUGGCUUGAGUACAUACCCAAUUUGAAGAGGUUUGUCCUUAACAGACUGGCGAGUGCACUGUUCCAAGGCUAAAAUACUUGGACUCCUCAUCAAAUAACUGGGCCUAACAUUAGGCCUAGUUUUCAUGGCCCAAAAAAAAUAGCAGCAACAGAAACAGAAAUAUACACAUGACUGUGAGAUCCAAACUUGAUUAUCUAAUUCUAUGCUGACGUCAAUUAACAUUAAUCUACUCCAUAGACUAGAUUUUUUUAAAUCUCACUCGGUGAUUAGCGGAUAAACAAGUAAUGAUAUACACAUGAAUGAAUUGUAUUUAUUUUCACAGAUGCCAAAUUUUAAUCAAUUUUCCUAAAAGCUAAAGUAUAGGAAUUAAUGUAUUAAUACACCAGAUUAUUUUCAGUAUCCCUUAAACUAAUAGAAACAUGCUAACAACAACAACAACUACCUAGUAUAGUCCCACAAAGUGGGGUCUGGGGAAGGUAAUAUGUAGACGGGCCUUACCCCUACCCGAAAGGGCAGAGAGGUUGUUUCCAAUCGACCCUCGGCGCAGUGAAGGAAAGGAAAAAAAAACAAAAACAAAGAGCAUUAGUAACUCCAGUAAAAAUAACGUAAAUAAUUAUCUGAACAUAAGAACCAUAAUUAAAAUAGCAUGCAAUAAUAUCAUACAGUAACUACCAUAAGGGAGAAACAAUCCAACAUACAGAUCAUCUAUGGAUAGCGCUGCCAAGCCUCACCCAACCCUGGGUGAGGAGUACGAAAAACUCUAGGGGCCCCUAUCCUACAACCCUGAUACUAGACCUCCAGACUUUCCUAUCAAGGGCCAUGUCCUCGGAAAGCCGCAUUCCCUCUUGGCGAUGACCUGAGAUCCAAUCUUCACGUCCCUCCCUACAUCCCUCGGCUCGACGCUAAACAUGCAUUCCAGGUAUUCUGUCUUAGAUCUGAUUAUUUUGAAACCCUUAGACUCGAGAGUGUGUCUCCAUACCUCUAAGCUCUCAAUAACACCGACCCUCGUCUCGUCAGCAAAUAGCAUAUACCAAGGCACAUCCUCUUGAAUAUGUCAGGUUAUAGCAUACAUCACCAAGGCAAACAAGAGAGGGCUAAGCGUCGAUCCUUGAUGGAGCCCCAUAACCACUGGAAAAUAGUCUGAAUCGCCACCCAUCUCCUAACCCUAGUCUUAGCUCCAUCGUACAUGUCCUUGAUUACUCUGUGUAGGCUUCCGGCACGCUCUUCGCCUCCAAGCACCUCCAUAGCACCUCCCUUGGGACUUUAUCAUACGCCUUCUCCAAGUCGAUAAGCACCACGUGCAGGUCCUUCUUCUUAUCCCUGAACUGCUCCACCAGCNNNNNNNNNNNNNNNNNNNNNNNNNNNNNNNNNNNNNNNNNNNNNNNNNNNNNNNNNNNNNNNNNNNNNNNNNNNNNNNNNNNNNNNNNNNNNNNNNNNNNNNNNNNNNNNNNNNNNNNNNNNNNNNNNNNNNNNNNNNNNNNNNNNNNNNNNNNNNNNNNNNNNNNNNNNNNNNNNNNNNNNNNNNNNNNNNNNNNNNNNNNNNNNNNNNNNNNNNNNNNNNNNNNNNNNNNNNNNNNNNNNNNNNNNNNNNNNNNNNNNNNNNNNNNNNNNNNNNNNNNNNNNNNNNNAGCAUGAAACCGAACUGGUUCACAGAUAUAAAUGUCAUCUCCCUCACCCUCGCCUCGAUCACCCGCUCCCAAACCUUCAUGGUGAGACUUAUUAAUUUGAUACCCCUAUUGUUGUUUCAGCACUGGAUGUCCCCUUUGUUCUUGUACAGGGCACCACUGUACUCCAUCUCCACUCCUCCGACAUCCUUUUGGUCGUAAAGAUCGCAUUGAACAACCUGGAGCUAACACAAGUCAACUAUUCAAUUCGUACAAAUGAGAUUUGAAAAUCUAGCAAGGAGAGUUUAGAGUAAAAAUUCGUACACAGAAUACAGUGGUAGGCACUGAUGAAGCCCAAACAAUUUCUACAUUCGAAUUAGCACUAGCUUAUAGAACCUAUCUAAAUUACUAAUGUGAAACAAAUACAUAGAAUAUUGUUACAGUUCAUAGUCCGCAUUUAAUACAAUAAUGUUUUAGCUAAUUCAUAAAAUUGCUGGAAACAUAACAAAUCUAUAGAUCAUUCAAAGGGAGAAUCAACAGAAUAAUCAGUGCAGCAUUUUCAUUUCAUUUCCAACUGGAGAGUUACAUUAGGACAAGCUCAGGAUGUGUACCUGGAAUGGAGGCAGAAUAAGAAGAAGAAGGCAGAGUCAGCAGCAGUUACCAGCAACCAGCAGCAACUUUGGACCAAUUUUGAAAAUAGUAAUGACAGUUCACAGCCCAAGAAAUAUAGUAACACAAAUAGCACCAGUAAACAGCCCAAAACAACUUGAAUGAACCAAAAAAAACUCAAAAAUGUCCCCAGGAACUUCCGAAUCUCAUCUACUGAAUUUUUAGACCAAUCAGUGCUUGAAAAUCUAAAAUAUGUACUCCAAUAGCUCGAAAACUCUCAUAUUCAAUAGAGCUUCUAUUGAUUUUCAGUGUUAGCUCUCAUCUUUCAAGGUUUGAGAUAUUUUUUGGUUUUUGGUUUUUUUGGAUUUUUUGGUUUUCUAUUUGGGAUCUCAGAUCUAUCACUGCUUCUCUAAGUUUUUGAGUUUUGAAUUUCAAAUUUUAUGAUCUCUAGACUUGCCUUGCAAGGUAAAGGAUUGCCCUUUAGUAAGCAAAGCUAAGGUACAUGCAGAUUUUUCCUUUACACCCCUACGUCUCUCUUUUAUUUCAAUUUUUUAACUAUUUAUUCCCUAUGAUUUUGGCUUGUUUUCCAAGUUAUAUUACUAAACUUCUAAAUUUCAAAUUACAACCCCAUCUAGAAGCUUCUAGGUAAUUCUAUAUUCAGUUACUGCAAGAUUUUCUACUCUAAAAUACCUCAAAUACCCUUGAAUUCACCUUGGUUAACUAAACCCCAGCCCUCUUCGACUUGGUCAAUAUUGACCAUGGUUAAACAAUUCAAUGCUAGAGAAUUCAGCUAUUUCCAAACAUUUCCUAGAAGUUGAACUAAUCAAUUGAUCAAACUAACAAUAACCAGACCCAGAAAUUAAUUCUAAACAAUACUACACCCUAAGACUAAUUUUAUCACUGAAUUACUGAAAAAAUAACUGAACCAUUCAACCAGUUCAAAGAUGAAGCGAUAUUCUAAAAGUAGAAAAUAUGAUUAAAGUCUAAGGAACAUCAACAAACAAGGAAUUAAUCAGGAACCUAAAUUAAAACUAUAACUCUAAAAAGAAAACUAAAAGAAAUUCAGUGACGAACAUGGACGUAUAAUUGGAACAAACACAAAAUCAAAUAAAAACUAAACCUAUGACUGCUAUAUACGAAAAUCAGAGUCCCAAAACUAAGAACCCUAAAUCAAACAAAAUAAAAGAAAAACCGAAAAUUAAAGACAUAUUUACUUAUGCAAAGAGAAAGAAAACAAAGAAAGAAAGAGAAGAUUGAGAAACUUACUGUUUAGGCUAUAGCUUGGACUGACCCCGAAUUGAGUCCCCAAAUAAUGUUACAUGCUUGUUCUUUCCAAAAACAAGCACAUAACCUUAUAUUGGAAACACACUCGAACACUGGCAAACCUUGAAAAUUCGAGGCGUAUUGAAUAAAGCCCUAAAUCUUAAAUUCGAAGGGUUCAAACUGGAUUUGAAGGAUUUUGGUUUGGGAUUUAGGAAGAGGAGGUCGAGGAGAUCAUGGGGUGUGAUUUUGGUUGGGUUUGGAGGAUUUUGGGGUUUGACCACUUUUUUUUAUUUAAGGUUCGAAUGAUUUUGGUAGGAUUUGAGGGAAACAGAGUGUAGACACAGAAAGAGGAGAAGGAGGAGCACCUAGGGUGUAAAUUUGGGGUUAUUUGGAGACUGGCCGGCUGUGAAGGGCGGGGACGUUACAAUUUUUUAUGAGAGAUGAGAGAGGAGGGGUAGGGGGUCUCGGGGGGGUGGUAACGUUAGGAAAUUUACAUAUUAAUUGAUGUGGGCUUCUCAACCGUUGGAUCAUAAAACCUAGACGGUUGAGAUUGAUCCAAGCUAAAAUGACGUCGUUUUGAUAUUAUAGGGGCUGGACCGGGUAUGGCAUUUUGGGGUGGGUUAAAACGGGUUUUAUUCAGGGGUUUUUUUGGGCUGGGAUUAGAAUUAGCCCAAAUUUGGGGUCUUUCAAUAAGACAACACCUGAUUCUUUUAAUUUUCUCAUUUUUCUUUAUUUGUUUUUCUUUUUCUUUUCCAUUUUUUUUCAAUCUUAAAACUAAAAUUAAACCUCUCAACUAAUUCAAACUAUCUAAUUAAACUAAAAUUAGUAUAAUACCAAUUUAAAAGAAAUUAACAAACCUAGGGCUAAAAUAAAAAUCAAACAAAACAAAUCAAGGUUUCUUUAUGAUUUUUGCUUGUAUUUGUAAAAGCCUAAUCACUAAUUGGUUUUAAAAUGUAUAAAUUAAAUUCUAAAUGCUCAUGCAAUUUUUAUAUGACUUAUCAUCCAUAUGUAAUUAAAUCUCAAAACUAAAAUAAUAAAAUAACUAUCUUAAUUCUAAGAAUUCUAUAGGAGUAAUUUAAACGAGGAAAAAAUCAC
rnacentral:lncRNA from 1 species